GGGUGUGAGGGCACUCAGGCUGUGACAUCUGUCACCCAUUGAUAGCCAGGGUUGAUUCCACUGAGCUGGCUGGCUAGGUGGGUGUUCCCUUCCUCCCUCACCACUCCAUGUACAUCCCUCCCAAAGCUGAGCAUUCAGUAGAAGAGGAUGGCCUUCCCCCCAAAAAAAAGAGACAUUAACAAAUUAAUGGGAUAAGAGGGGUACAACUCCACACAAUUCCCACCACCAGAUCUCCAUAUCCCAUACCCUCCUCCAUCCCCCUUUCCUAUUCUUUAUCCCUCUGGGAGUAUGG
ensembl:misc_RNA 7SK 7SK RNA